rnacentral:lncRNA from 1 species
GUUUUGCUUUAAGUAUGAUUGGCUAAUUUCGUUUUGGCUAAGGGUGGAUUCAAAACCAUGACUAUAUAUGUGAAAUAAGUUGAUCACUUUCAGUUAUCGUUGUAUAAGUCGUUUUAAUACAAUUUCUUAACCGUUUGAUUUAGAACUUAUUCUUGUAUGUUGGUUGAGAGUGCACGCUUAAUUUGCAUGCUUGAAUUUGAUGCUAGGAUAUAAGUUUGUUUCACCUAAUCGUUAUGAAUUUAUAUUCGUAAGUAGUGAAGGUCGCUAGUCACGAUCGUGUUAAGUAGAUUCCUGGCAAGAGUAUCAUGCUUUUCAUAGUUACGAAUGCCUUGUCGAUGCUUAUGAUUUCCAAAGAACGUAAUGAUUCUAACUUGUGUCUUUAUCAUGCUGUUCAUAUAAAGAACUUUUUGGGAAUAAUUUGUUUGCGAUGCAUAUUCAUCCAAUUCAAUGAUUCUAGGGAAAUCUGAAGGUUAAUUUAAGCGGACCUAAUUAACUUGGAGUGUCGAGAUUCAUAACUUAUUAAAUUGAUAACUGAAAAUUGAUUUAGGUUGCAUAUAUUUCAUGUGUGGAGAAGAACCCCUUAGCCAUUCCAUCAUCCAUUGAUUAUUCAUAACUUUGUGUUACAAUUUAUUUCUAUUACAAUCUGUUUUCCUUGCAAUCUGUCCAUUUAGUUCAUUUUCGUCCAAAUCAAUUCCCCAUUUAUUUUGAAGUCCUAGAUUAGUUAGAAAGUGUGUUGGUUUAUGUUUUUAAGUGUUUUGGUACAAGUUAAAACCCAAAUUCGUCCAAAUUGGUGCUUUGUGUUCAAAACUGCCCAAAAAGUGUUUUUAAGGCAGUUUUGAGUCUUUUAGUUGCUGUUUUGAGUUAUUGGUUUAUUUUAGUAUUUUAAAACGUGAGUUUUGCAUUCUUUGAGUCUAAUAUAGUGUUUUAAACUUUGUUUUUACAUUUCUAAGUCAGUUUUCAAGUGUUUAGCAAUCCCUCCUAAUCCCCGGUUUAGAACGAUCCCUACUUACAUACUUUGCUACAAUUGAUAAAAAGAGGGUUUAAUUUUGUGUGUUAACUUAUUUUUCACAUCAAAUUUUUGGCGCCGUUGCCGGGGAUUAGCAACUUUGCUAAUCUCUUGGAUUGUUUUCUUUCGAAUUAUUGUAUUUUGUUUAAGUUUCUGUUUAAGUUGCUGAUUUGUUUUGUUUUCUUUGUUUUUAGGUACUAGUGCAUGACUCGAAGUUCCCGACUUGUUCAUGAGCAUAUCUUAGACUUUGACGACGACUUCGAGAGAACUUUGAGAAGAAGGAGGAAACAACAGCACAAGGAGGAUCCCACGGCACAGUGGGUGGAGAAGAGCAAGGUAUAGCCAUGGACAACCGUACGCUCAAUGAGCUUGCCGCAUCGGGUUUGGAUAAUGCCGCACCAUUGUGUAUCCAAUAUCCCAUGGCUGCUCAAGGUAAAACCGAAGAGUUCGAGUUAAAGUCAAGUUUGCUCCACCACAUUCCAAAGUUCCAUGGGCUGUCCAUGAAGGAUCCGAACAAACAUUUGAAAGAAUUUGAAGUGGUGUGCUCAAGUAUGACUCCGGUUACCGUUGACGGAAGUAUUUUAAAGAUGAAGGCUUUUCCAUUCUCUUUAAUGGACAAAGCCAAGGAUUGGUUAUACGAGUUGGCUCCCGGUACAGUUACAUCUUGGGAGAGUAUGAAGAGGGCGUUUCUGGAGAAGUUUUUCCCAACUUCUCGCAUCAUUCUUCUUCGUAAAAAAAUAAGUGGAAUUCAACAAGAUGAAGGUGAGUCUUUUCCUACAUAUUAUGAACGAUUUAAAUCACUUGUUGCUUCUUGUCCACAGCAUCAGAUGAAGGAGGAAUUGCUUUUGCAAUACUUCUAUGAAGGGCUCCUACCACUAGAACGUCAAAUGCUCGAUGCCUCGGCGGGUGGAGCAUUGGUAGACAAAACGCCCAUGGCUGCAAAAAUCUUGAUUGCUAAUCGAGCAUUGAACGCUUAACAAUACGAGGGUGUAGGCCAAAGAGGACCCCCACGGCAACAAGUGCAUGAGGUAAAUUCCGCUUCCAAUAUUCAAUCUCAGUUAGCUAAUCUUACUUCUCUUGUUUCACAGAUGGCCGAGGGAAUGAAGAUUCAAGGACCCAUGGUGUGUGGCGUAUGUUCUAUCUAAGGACAUGCAUCCGAAAAGUGUCCUUAACUCAUUGAGAAUGGUGGAUGGGAGAGCGCUAAUGCCAUUGGGUUUCAAAGCCAAAAUCAGCCAAGACAUGAUCCAUAUUCCAACACGUAUAAUCCGGGGUGGAGAGACCAUCCAAACUUCAAAUGGAGAGAGCCACAACAAGCCCAACCACAAGGAGGCUUUAGGCAACAACCCCUGGGCUUCUACAACAAACCAUAUGCACCCCCUCAAGUCCAACCACAAUCUCCCCCAAAUAAUUCAGGUAAUGCUUUGGAUAAUGAUACACUUGUUAAGUUACUAACCACUUUGACUAAUGGGCAGGAAAAUCAAAACAAAAGAGUGGACCAACUAGAGAAACAAAUGGGGCAGAUUGCCGAGGUUGUUGGGCAGAUUAGAGACAAGGAAGGCUUCCUAGUUCUACCAUUCCAAACCCGAAGGGAGGCUUUGAAAGUGCAAAGGCCAUACUCUUGAGAAGUGGAAAAGAGAUUGGGGCAGGUUCUUCAUCAAAAACAGGUCACAAAGAGGAUGAAAAACUUCAAUUUGAGGAGGAGGAAGCAUGCCCACCCACGGCAAAGGUGGACACACCUAUGCCGCAAGCCCCUAUGGCUCCAAAUCUGUCCAAUUCAUCCAAUAAAGGUAAGAAUGUGUCAAAUUCGGUUUCUACUAAUGUUGUGCCUUCGAAUGCUCCUUUUCCUAGUAGGUUUAUGCAAAUAAAGAAAGAAGAAGCUGAAAAGGACAUCCUUGAGACACUUAGGAAAGUUCAAGUCAACAUACCCUUGUUGGAUGCCAUUAAGCAAGUCCCGAGAUACGCUAAGUUUUUAAAGGAGCUAUGCACCACUAGGAAGAGGAUUUCAACCAAGGAGGUUGUGAAGGUAGGUGAAAAUGUCUCCGCCAUCUUGCAACGUAAACUACCCCCCAAAUGCAAAGAUCCGGGUAGCUUUACAAUUCCGUGCGUCAUUGGUAACACUCGUUUCAAAUCUGCCAUGCUAGAUUUAGGAGCCUCUAUAAAUGUUAUGCCAUACUCCAUUUAUGUAUCUAUGAACUUAGGUGAGUUGAAACAUGAUGGUGUAAUCAUACAAUUGGCCGAUAGAUCUAACGCUUAUCCAAAGGGAGUGUUGGAAGACAUUUUGGUGCAGGUUGAUCAUUUAGUCUUCCCAGCAGAUUUUUAUGUGCUCGAAAUGGAUGAAUCGGAUCAUGCUUCUUCAUUGCCCAUCCUCCUUGGAAGGCCAUUCAUGAAGACGGCCCGAACGAAGAUUGACGUGUAUAGUGGAACGUUGUCCAUGGAAUUUGAUGGGGAAGUUGUUAAUUUUAAUCUUUUUGAUUCCAUUAAGUACCCUAGUGAGGACCAUUCAUGUUUCUCUAUUGAUAUAAUUGACUCUUUGGCGCAGGGAUAUCUUGAAGAUUUGAAUGACAAUGCGCUUGAAAAAGUCAUUACACGAGGAAUGGAACUCACAACCAAGGGGGCAGAUUCUAGUGUAACCCACGGCAUACAUGGACUAGGCCAUGUCGUGCUUCCUAGUGAUGAAAUUUUUGAGUUGGUUGCUGCCUUUGAGUCACUACCUAAGCAUGGUGGUAAGUCUCCUAACUUUAAUUCCAUUCCAAUUUCGACUAACAAGUUGCUUCCAUCCAUCGUUCAGGCACCCAUACUUGAUCUCAAACCCCUACCAAGCCAUUUGNCUUUAUCAAUAUGGCCGGCCAUAGGGUGUUAUUGGGCUGUUUGGGCCUUUGUGAAUAUUUAGUCUAGUUGUCAUACAACUUAAGUCAAUAGGCUUGACGUUCGAAGCCCAUUGGCCUUGAGCCCAAAACUAACCCGAGGUCUUUAACAAACUUUAUUCGUUGAUUAAUUAACAUAUUAAUUAAUCCUUGCCACAAAUAAUUAAACCAUUUAAUUAUCCUUUUCCCCCUAGAAAUCUAACAAAUUUAAUCCCUUUCUAGAAGCUUUGUGCUGAAUUUCCUAGUCUUAUUCCUCUAGGAUUGUGUAAUCCUUCUCCUCCACUACUUUGCACAAAACCCUAGCCUAUAAAUACACCACCCUUUACCAUAUUUUUCUACACCACACACCCAUAUAUUCAGAUAUAAUUGAGAGAAUUCUUGGAGCCUUUUGUCGUGCCUUGCCAUUCAACAUUGGAUUGCUGGAGCGUUCUUAGGUGUAUUCUAUCUUUGUUUUCAAUGUUUAAAUUUAAUUGUCUUUGUUUAAAUGCGAACAUGAGGAACUAAUUUCUUUAUAGUUAGAGGUGAAUUCAAAGCCAUGAUUAUAUGUUUUAUAAAAAUUGAUUACAUCCAGUUAUUAUUUCUUGAGUCUUGAAUGUGAUUUGGUUAUCUGAGUUAUUAAAACUUGUUUAUGUAUGUUGAUUGAGGAUGCAUACUUAAUUUUCAUGCAUGAACUUGAUGCUAGAGUAUAAGGGAGUUUCACCUAAUCGUUAUGAACUUAUAUUCACAAGUAGUGGAGGUUGCUAGUCACAAUCGUGUUAAGUAGAUCCUUGGCAGGAGUAUCAUGUUUUUCAUAGUUACGAAUGCCUCGUCAAUGCUUAUGGUUUUCAAAGAAGUUAAUGACCUUUGAUAUGUUUUUCUAUCAUGCUUUUCAUAGUUAGGGAACUUGAGAAGGAUAAUUUGGUUGUGAUGCGUAUCCCGUCCAAUUCAAUGAGUUAAGGAAAAUCUGAUGGUUAAUUUGUGUUGUCACAACUAACUUGAGGUGUUUUCAUUCAUAGUCUAAGGGAACAAUACUGGAAAUUGGUUUAUAUGCAUAUGUCAUGUGUGGAGAAGGACCCUCUAACUAGCCUUUUACCCUUUUUAAUUCACCAAAUUUGUUUUCUUAAAGUGUUUUAUGCAAAGUUUUUGUUUUAGGUUUUAAAUUCAUCAAAAACAAUCCCCUUUCAUUAAGUCUUGUUAGUUGAGUCAUAAUCGGUUUUCUUUUAGUCGUUUGAGUCAAGUUCAAUCUUAUUUUCGUCAAAACCACUUGUUAGGUCUAGAAUUGAGUCUUUUUUAUUGUUUGUUGCUAUUUUGAGUGUUUUGAGUCAAUUUUGAGUCUAUAAAGUCUAGUUUAGUGUUUAUGAGUCUUAUUUGUGUUGAUUAGCAGCCCUAGUUAAUCCCUGAUCUAGAACGAUCCCUACUUGUUUAAUACUACAAUUACAUGUUUAAUAGGGUUUAAUUUGUGUGUCAAGUUAAUUUUCACAUCAAAUUUUUGGGUCAUUUUAUAUGAAUAUGGUUUCUGAAACAGUUAUUGUUUUGUUUUACAAAUAUUGGAUUUGGUUUUGCAACAGAUUAAUAAAUAGUUGUAAUUGUUUGUAACAUUUUGUUGUUGUUUAUUGUUAUAUGCAUAUAAUAUUGUGUACUGAUUUGUAAUUGUUUGUUUUUUCGUUCAAUAGUUAUGGAGAAUAGUAAACUAGCUCAAUUUAUCAACUUCUACAUUCGGUCAGAUUUGUAUUGAUAUUUGUUUUAGGUUUAAAGGUUUGAGGCUUGGUUGUUUUGAGUUGCGAUAUGCUUUGAAUGAAAAAUCCUACUUGUCUCUUAGAUUGUGAUGCUGAUGUUAUGAAUAUGUUGAUAGUUCUCGAUGUUAUUGGAAAAUCCAUCGUAGAAAUAUUGGUUAUGGAUAAAUGUGAUGGUUUAAUAGUUUAGUUACCUACAGAUAGCGUAUCUUCUACGUGCCGUACGUUGGACUCUAUGAUUAUUGUUAGUGAAAAUGAUCAUUUAGGGAAGUAUGGUUCUCAUGGUAUCUAUAAUUAUAUGUCAUGUGAAUGACAUAGUUAUAUAGCAUCUGAGGGGCAAAUUUUUAGGGGAGGUUGUUUUGAUUUCUGUGAUAAAUUGAAGCAAUUUUUCUGUUGAAUGUGAUUUUGAUUUGAAGUGUUUGAAGUAUGACAAGAAUCACAUUAGUGUUGAGUGUUCUAGGAAGAAAUUUGAUGGUUGUCUUUGGUGUGUUUAUGCAUCCAAGUGUGAUACUAAUGACUUUUUCGUUAUUUGGAAGUUGCAUAAUGUGCAUACAUGCAAGGGUAUGAUUCAAAAGAAGAAAACAAAGUUGUUGGCCAUCAAUUUGUUGCAUCUCUCAUCAAGGAUAAGUUCAAUAAAAUCCUUUUAUUAAACCGAAGGACAUUAUUUCAAACUUAAAACAAUUUUAUGGAUUAGAUAUUGAUUAUGCUACUACAUACUUUGUGUGAGGCCUCCAGUUACGAAGAUUUUGUCUGCAAGACCAAAGAAAAGUAGGAUUAAAUCUGCUGGUGAAAUCAAUGGGACUAAGAAAAAUGUCACUUGUAGCACGUGUGGAUGUUCGGGACAUAACAAAGAUAGUUGAUUUUUUAUUUUUGUUUUGAGAGACGGGAGUUAUUGGUGAUAUAUAACAAAUUUUUUAUUUUGGAGAUUCUUUAUUUUGUUUUCGAUUGAUGUUUGGGAUUAUGUAAUUUUGGAUUUAGAAUUGUUCGAGUAUUAUAUAUGAAUGCAAUGUUUGAGUAUUUUCAGUUUUAUGAAACAGUAUUUUGAGUUUAAUAAACAGUUAUUAUAUAGAUCCAUCCAUAAAUAGCUAAGUUUAUGGCUUUGUGGUUUCAAUAUCAAUUUACUAGUUUGUUUAUGUAAGUAUAUGCGAGUUGAAUUAAAAGUUUAAAGUAAAUUCAAGGCCUUUGUGGUAGGCAACUAUGUUGGUUUUCAAUCUUGAUCUACUUGAUCUUCCUUUUUUUUAGCUAAGAGAAAACUAAAAAAAAAAAAAAAAAAAAAAAAAACAUGGCUUGACUCUUCAUCAAACUUCGACAACAAUUCGUUUAGAUUUAAAAUUAGUUGAUAGUUAAGUGUAAUGACUUUAAUUUUAAAAUAAACUCACAGUAUUUAAUAUGAGGUUUAUUGAUUUAGAUGAAACAGAUUUUCCAGUUUCAUAAACAAUUGUUAUUUUUUACGAAAUAGUGUUUACAGUUUAAAAAAUAGUUGCCUAUCAAUGCAUAAAUAUUUAUACUUAUUUAUAGAAAUAGCCAUGUUUAUGGCUUUUGAUGUUUCAACAACUUAUUAAUGUUAGUUUUCUUUUGGCCAUUUUGUACAUUCAAACAAAGCAAAUUAGAUUAAACUUUAGAUUAUGUGUCACAGUCCGUCCCGGAGAUGUACGUUAAUUAUUUAUCAGAGGUGUGAAAAGUCAAAAUUACCCCUGGACGUUGAGUUGUAUUAUUGGUUUAAUUGUGUUUUUGGACCAAUAUUCUUAAAUCCUAAUUGUUUGGAACCAAUUAGGAUUAGAGUUUGGUGUAUUGUGGGUUGUUGACUAUUUUGGACCACACAUCACUUCUCUCCAUUCUCUCUCUCACUCCCGUUCACUCUCUCUCUCGGUUUCACUCUCUCUCCUUCGAACUCGUACGGACAAUCACCCAAAACCCUUGAAACUUCACGGAUCGUGGUCAAAGUUGGCACCAUUGUGUUCGUGAAGUUCAGACAAGUCAAUUGGUACCCAUUUCAGGUAAGGAUACCUUCGAAAACCCUUGUUUUUCAAAACCCCCAAUUUGUGCACUGUUUAUGCACACGUAAUUAUGGAUGUUUUUGGGAAUUUGAAGCUUGUAGGAAGCUUAGUGAGGUCCUAAGGAAGCUCGGAGUGCUUUGUUUGAAGGUUUUGGACGUCGGGAUCGUGUGGACGGAGUUUGGCCGAUUUUUCUUGGAAUUCUCCGGUGAGAUCCUGUAACUUUUAGAACUUUUAAAUUAGUAUGAUUGUGUUCUACAAGUUAAGAGCUUCAUUUUGGUAUAAAUUGUGUGAAAAAUGGUGCAAAAAUGAGCGAGAAAUAGGCAGUUGCAGGUCUGCCAAGAAUUUGGCGUCGGUGACACUAUUCCGGCGUCUGGAGGUUGAAGAUGCCGCGCGUGGGGGGCGCGUUUUGCCGUGCCCUUGCCGCGCGUGGGCAGCGCGUGGGAGCUAGAAAAAUUUAUCUAAAAAUUUGGGGAUGAUCCUGAGGUUGUGUAGGUCACUAUGGUGUAUUCAUAGACCUAGUUUGAGCAAUGUAUGAGAAGUUAUUGGCUAGUUUCACCUAUGUGCUUUAAAAUAACGUUUUUAUAGUUAAUUCGCAUAUAGGUGAGGCUUAUCCCUAAGACGAGCGUAUCCACGGGGGACUCAGGGGCUACGAUCCUUCGACAUACUAGUGAGUGGGCUUUUGUUUUCAGUAUAUACUUAUAUACUUGAUAUAUUUCCCAGAAAUGCAUUUUUAUGAAAGUAUACUUUGAAAUAAUAUGCCAAAUGCUUUUAUAUUCUGAAUAUGCAUUUCAUGGUUGCAUAUAUAUAUAUAUAUAUAAAUGUGGUGUUGUGGAGGCACAGGUAAGUUCAGGUAAGUUAUGUUUGGUUAUAUGAAUCAUGGAUGAAGUAAUAUGUGAUUGAAUAAUGUUGAGCUAAUAAAACUGCACCUAGGGUGAUUGUGGUUUAGCCAGAGAUGUGAAGUACAGGCCUGUUUAUUUACGUCACCUCCCGCACUAUAUGCUCAUAUUAGAUCAACUUACGUGCACAGUCUUGUCGUACAGACCUUAUUUAUGGUUCCAACUCGUAGGUGAUUAGCGAUUUAUCGCCCGGCUAUUAUGAGAGAGUAAAGUUGAUCAUAAUUAUAUUACACCCAAUCUUAUCGUACAGACCCCUUUUUAGUCGUUUCGACUUAUGUGCAUUACAUUGCCAUAUAGGUCAUUGUAGUGACUCCGGCUAGAUUGACUUUUGAGCUAUGAAUUCAACCGUACAGAUGAUAGAAGCAUAUUUAUGCAACUUAGUUAGCUUGUUUCUUGGCAUUUACUUAGUUUAAUUCUAGUUAUGUUAGUACUUUAAGCUAUUUUCGUGUGUUUGUAGGUUCAAAUAACAAAGUCAGCAACAAAAUGCUAUUUGGAGCAUUUUUGGGCCAAGAUUGGAUAGUACAAGCAUGGAGACAUGAGGAUGGACGUUUUUGAAGAUUUGAAGGCUAGAAAUCAGCAUGUGUGUGUGCAACUGUGUUGACCUACAACUACAAACAUCCAUCCACUACACCCAUUACAUCCACUCAUUACCAAACAUCCAUCCACUACACCUAUUACAUCCACUCAUUACCCAACAUCAAUCCAUUACACCCAUUACAUCUACUCAUUACCAAACACUCACCCACUACACCCAUUGCAUCCACUCAUUACCACAACAGUCACCCACUACACCCAUUACAUCCACUCAUUACCAAACAUCCAUCCACUACACCCAUUACAUCCACUCAUUACUAAACACUCACCCACUACACCCAUUACAUCCACUCAUUACCACAACAUUCACCCAUUACACCCAUUACAUCCACUCAUUACCACAACAUACACCAGUACCACCUUAAUUAGAUGGUGGUCCUCUCCCUAGCCUAUAAAUACAUCCACUCUUCACCAUAACAAAGCGGGGGAGAUCCAUCCAAAGACAUAUUCACACAGACAGUUUAGGGAGAAGGAAGGAAGACAAAUUCUGCCGCAAGGCAGAGUCUUUUCUUCUUAACCAUUCUACACAUUCCCACAACAAAAAGACAAUUCCAUGCACCUUCAUUUCCCUUUCCUUGUCGUGACCUCUCAUUUCCCUUUCCUUGUCGUGACCUCCAUCCAACCUAAACACAUUCAGCCAUUCCCUUCCAUAUAUCCAUACGCAUCCAUCAAACCACACCUUGUGUUGCAACAAAGAGAAGAAUCAGGACCCUUGGACGUGCUUGCCAUUCAAGUUGGAUUGUUGGAGUGUUUUUAGGUGUUUUCAUUCCUUUGUUUUCAAUGUCUAAAUUUGUUUAUCUUUGCUUUGUAAGUAUGAGGAACUAAACCCCCCUUAGCUAAGGGGGAAUUCGAAACCAUGUUCAUGCUUGCAAUAUGAUUUGAUUACUUUCAGUUGUGAUUCAUAAGUUGUGAAUUCAAUUUACUUAUCCAUUUGAAUUAAAACUGAUUUGUGUGUGUUGGUUGAAAGUGCAUGCUUAAUUUUCAUGCAUAAAUCUGAUGCUAGGAUAUAAGGGAGUUUCACCUAAUUGUUAUGAACUUAUAUUCACAAGUAGUGAAGGUUGCUCGUCACAACCGUGUUAAGUAAAUUCUUGGCAUAAGUUUCAUGCAAUUCAUAGUUACAAGUGUUUCGUCAAUGCUUAUGAUUUUCAUAGAACUUAAUGAUUCUUGCUUAUAUCUCUAUUAUGCAAUUCAUGUAGGGAACUUGUGGGGAAUGCUUUGGGUUGUUAUAUGCAAUCAUCCAAUUCAAUGAAAUUAGAAAAAUUUGAGGGUUAAUUAAUGCAAUUCACAGUUAAUCUGGGGCGUUGAGAAUUCAUGGUUGAUUGAAAAGCAAUUGGACAUCGUUUUGUUUGCAAGUAUGUCAUGUGUGGAGAAGAACCUCCUAGCUAACCUAUCAUCCAUAGUUUUACCCAAAUUCGUGCAGAUUUCAUUAGCUCUUUAAUUUACUUGUUUUGUUUUCAAUUUCGUCAAAACCAAACCCCCCUUUACCUUGUUGAGUCAUAUUUGUUAGAAACUGAUUUAGUUUGUGUUUUUAAGUGUUUCGAACCAAGUUAAAACCAAAAUUUGUCCAAAAGUAGUUUAGAGUCCAAAUCUACACAGUUUGUGUUUUUAGGCAAAUUUGGGCGUUUUUAGCUUGUUUUGAGUCUUUUGAGUUUGUGUUGAGUUCUUUGAGUCUAGUUUAGUGUUUUUAACUUUGUUUUUAUGUUCUUAAGUCAGUUUAGAGGUUAUUAGGAAGCCCUCCUAAUCCCCGGUCCAAAAUGAUCCCUACUUACAUUCUUUACUACAAUUGAUACAAAAGGGUUUAAUUUGUUUGUUAAGUAAAUUUUCGCAUCAAAUUUUUGGCGCCGUUGCCGGGGAUUAGUAACUUUUGCUAAUCCCUUGUUAUUUCUUUUUGUAUAUUUUCGUGUCUUUUGUUUUUAGUUACUGACUUUGUUUCUGUUUGUGUUUUUUUUUUUUUUUUUUUUGGUUUUACUUUUGAUAUUUGAUUUAGUUUUGUUUCCUUGAUUUCAGGUACUAGAGAAGUAAGACAUGGAUUUUGCUACCAUUCAAGCUCAAUUGGUGAAACUUACUUCUCAAUUGUCACAAUAUGCCAAAAGGACCACAAUGGAAAGUGUCCCUAAAUAUGGUGUGUCCUAUGGGCAAGGAUAUCCAACUCAUCAAUGUUCUCAAUUUGCUACGAAUGAAGAUGCUUGGGGUUAUCAAGGCCAUAGCCAAUCAUGGGACAACAUGUUUUCCAACGCUUACAAUUCGGAUUGGAGAGAUUAUUCAGAUUACAUGUGGGGAGAACCUCAACAAUUCCAACAAGAUGGAUAUUGGUAGGAAGAAGAGGAGUUCUAUUCAAGACCUAUGCAGCGACCAUAACCUCCUCCACAACAAUUCCAAUCAAAUUCAAGUAUGUCUAUGAGUUAUGAUGAAAUUCUUGAUGUACUAACCUCUUUGACGCAGGGCUCACAACAAGAAGAAUAUUUGCCGCCAUCAGAUGAGUUCUAUCACUAGCCAUAUGAACCAUCACAGCCACUACAACAAUCUGCCCAAUUCAAUUCAGGUACGUCUUUGGAUUAUGAUAUGUUUAAUAAGUUACUCACCUCUUUGAACCAGGAAGUAGAAAAUUGAAACAAAGAGAUGCAAAAUCAAGCCAAGAAGACGGGUGAAUUGGAUAAGCAAAUUGGGCAGAUUAUGGAGUUCAUGGCACAAAUUCAAGAGCAAAGUGAACUCUCCAACUCAACUAUUGAAAAUUUGAAGGAAGAUUUUGAAAUCCAUGAUGCUAUCACUUUGGGAAGUGCUAUGGAGGUUGGAGGUGAACCCAAGACAUCCAAACCAAGCCAAAACAUGGAUGAACAGCUGCUGCUUAAAGAAAAGGAGAAUAACAAGGCCACGGCAAGGGAAAAACCACCCUUGCCGCAGCCCCAUAUGCCCUUUAUGCCUUCCACUACAACCAAGGUAAGCCUAAAUUCAAUUUGUCCUGACCCCGUUUCACCAAUUGUCCUUAUUCCUUGUAGGAUCAUGCAAUCCAAGGAAGAAGAAGGUGAGAAAGGCAUCUUCGAAACCUUUCCAAAGAAUCAAGAGCAAGAAGUGGAUAGAGAAUGUCUAGAAUUUAUCAAAGAAGAUACACUUGAGACGAAAAUUCCCAAAGAAGUUGGAUUUUAUGACAUAGGAAAAGUCAUAACUCUCAAAACACCAAAUCUAGCCAAGUCGCAUAACCUUGCAACCUUCAAAGAUGUGGUGUUCGUAAUUAAGUUUGUGUUGAAGCAAGCAAGUAAGCUAUCUUCUCCAACUUCGAUUUUAUUAUAUACUAACUUGCUGAUUUUGAUGAUUCAGGCACCUACACUAGAAUUCAAACCAUUGCCGGAUCACGUCAAGUAUCACAUUCCAUUCAAGGAUCAAUUCCAUGUUAUGGGCCCUAUCCAAGUUUAGAAGGAAGUUUCGUCCGGCUGGAAGACGUUAAAGCAAACGCUUCUUGGGAGGCAACCCAUGUAUUCAAAUGAGGAAGAUUUUUGAAUCGCUCCACAAUCAGUUUUGCGUUUCUAAAAAACCUUCCCUUUUCUGCAUUUUAUUUUGCCAUGAUUCUCAUUUUUAUUUGUUGCUCAUUUAAUUAUUUUUGGGUGUGGGUUUAUUUUUUGAGACAUUGACAGAUAUGCAAGGUAUUUUUACAUUCAUUUUCAUGAAAAAAAAAAGAACAUUAAGCAGAAAACACAAGAGGAAGCCUUCACAAAGGCUGCUUAGGAGAAGUCUCAGUAGUCGGCAGAGCCUCAGCAGUUGGCAGAGCCCCAGAAGGAGGAGGCAUCAAAGGUUGAUCAUUUGGAGCUUCAUUACGUGGUACAACCCCAGAAGACGAAGGCAAAUGCUAUUGGAACAAACCCACAAACCUCUUAUGAUCAAGUAAAAUCUGACCAUCAGAUUCCUGCAUCUGGUCAAUCUUCCUCUUCAUGUUUGUAGCAUAGUUAUGUGCGAGCUUGUGCAAUUGUUUAUUCUCAUGCUUGAGCCCUCUAAUCUCCUAUUUGAGACUCAUCACUUCAGCCGCCAACGAUUCAACUUGACGGGUUCGAGCAAAUAGGCGUUGGGCCAUAUUAGACAUAGAACCUGCACACUGCACACUGAGAGCCAGAGAAUCCUUAACAGCCAACUCAUCAGACCGUUUGGAAAGUAGUCUGUUAUCUUUGGGAGUGACAAGGUUCCGGGCCACCACCGCAGCGGUCAUAUCAUUCUUCAUCACCGAAUCCCCAACAGUAAGAGGACCAAUAGGGGAUAUGAAAGAUGGGCGCCAUAUGUUGUUUGGAGAAGGCAUGGCUGCCUCUUCACCAAGGAUCAAGUCAAAAUGACAGUCAAAGGGGCCAGACAUUUUCGAAGGUGUUGAAGAAAAAAGAGGUCGGACAAGUCAAGAUCGUAGAAGUGCAAGAAGGGAGUUUCUACAGGCAGAAAUUCAAGUGUGCUUGGAAACGUACUGCGCGUCUCUAUAAAAACUAGCACUAGACGGGAUUUUAGAGAUCGAAGAGGCGAGCUCAGAAAUCAAAGAGGCCAAUUCAAAAAUCGAAGAGGCGCUAGCUUUCUCAAAAGCUGGGCUUGCUCAGAAACCACGGGCCAAUCUUCUUUUCUAGAUUUGUCCGCACUUGUUAGAUACAACCUCUGCACUCGACAGAGCUCAGAACUCGAAGAGGCAAGCUCAGAAAUCGGAGAGGCAUCUGCUUUUUCAGAAGUGUCAGCAUCUGUCAUAUGCACACUCAGCUUUGCAGAUUGUCGAAGCGCCGAUUCCAGAUAUCGAAGAGGCACUUGCUUUUCCAGACGUGUCAGCACCUGUCACAUGCACACUCAGCUUUGCGGAAAUCACGGGCAGUUUGUCGAAGCGCCGAUUGCAGAUAUCAAAUAGGCAUCUGCUUUUCCAGACGUGUCAGCGCCUGUCACAUGCACACUCACCCUUGCGAAAAUUACGGGCAAUAUGUCAAAGAUUUCUUGUGAAGUAAAAGGCACGUGAAGUUUACUGUUAAAUCAUCCAACGUUGCCGACAAGAGUGAAAGAAUAGUACCGGUUAUUAAUUCCUAUAAAUGUCAACCUUCACCUUCCAUUGCAAGGCAGACAUACAUAACCUUUCUUUAUCUCCAAGAAUGCCUUCCCAACAAAGCCUCUCGAGUCACUCAGUGUUCCUUAUACCUUGGGGUACCUUUGCAAACAACUCAUCCAAAGAAAAAGUAUUUCAUAUCAUGAAUGUUGAAAGCAAGAGUAUCUCAUAUCUUGCUUUCUCCCUGUCCUUCUCCUUGUCGUUGUUUUCAUCUACGGGAUAAGGAGAAAGAGAGCAAUCAGCCAGCACUUGGUAUCAAUCUUUCGAUCUGGAACCGACUGCCUGGAACCCCUUCCUGAUUGCUUACCUAGCCUUGCUCUCAAGUACUCAUCUUCAACAUCUUAUGCUUCCUCUUCAUCUACCAUAUCUGCCUGGGGAACAGAUAAGGGAAGUGAAAAUGAUACCUCGAAGUAUGUGGAGACAAUGUGCUAAUUCAUCCUCAGCUAGGGACAAGGAGAAAGAAAGCAAAUGGUGGGCACUUGGAAAGAUUAAAGAAAGAAACAUACCAUCACCUCUACCUCGUGUCUGCCUGCCGUGUAGAAGAAACAAGCAAAGAAGAAUGCAGACUGACAAUCAAAUCAACCCAGCAGAAAAAGUUUGAUUUGAAACCAAGGAACUCUGAUAUUCCUCGCUCAGAAUUCCAAACCAGUUCGAGAUCAAAGCUGUGGAAAGUCGCCAAGAUCAUCUAUCUCCAAAACCAGAUUUGCGUUCUUAAACUCUACUCUAUCUAGUUUUUACUUUACCAUACUGGUCAUGUUUAUUCAUUGGUUGUUUGUUUGCUUGUUUUUAUGUGAGUUUAUGCUUGAAACAUUGAGGACAAUGUUUGAUUUAAGUGUGUAGGGUAACCAAGUUGUUUUGCAUGAAAUUCUUAGGAGUUUAUCACCCAUUACUUCUAGUAUUGUUCCUUGUUGUUUUUAAGUGUUUUUAAGCUGUUUUGGAGUGUUUUAGUGUGAUUUGAAAUAAAAAUCCGAAAAUCUCAUAAAAAUUUGAAAAAUUGUUUUUGAAAAAACCCAAAAAGAGUUGUUUUUGUGUGUUUUAUUUGUGUCUUAGGUACCUUCCAAUACAAUGAUGAGGAUUUGGCUUUUAAUUACAUGACUGUUUAAAGAGAGUAUAAAACAUGGAUAAAAUUUGAUUUACUCUUUUGGUGUAUGCUUGGUUGUGGUUAUAAUUUAUGAAUUCACAUGCAAUCAUAAAGAAAAAAUCAGUUUUUGUAACAUGCUUGAAGGAAGGAACUCAAAUGAAUGCUACAACCUUGUGAGACUUGAGCCUAAACGUUUAUUUGGAAAGUUAAUAAUUUGUGCAUCAUUGUUUUCUAAAGUCGUUGCAUGAUCUUAUUAUUCUUUGCUUGGUUGCUACUUAGAAGGCGUUUCAUCAUUUAGUUCCAAAUGCUAGAACUCAUGCCCAUUUCAUUCAAAGCAUGCUAUUGAUUUGCAUAACACAUAUUCAAGAUGAAGUUGUGUAGUGACCACCAAAGCCAAAUUGCCGUGCCCCUAUUUCAUUAUGUGUUUAAAUUUAACCCCGUUGAGCUUGUUAAGCCUAUGUUCUUUGUUAACCCACACUAUCCUUACCUAGCCUAGUUUUAGGAUCAUCCAUACCCUUGUUCUUGAAGCAUAGUAAAGCAUGACCUAAAUGAACUCCUUGUUGAUCAAUGUAUUGCAGAAAGCAAGUGUGGGGGAAGUGAUUCUUGUGUGUGUGUGUACCAGAGUCCUUAAUAAGGCACGGGUAAAGAAAAUAAAAAAAAAGGUCCAAAACAUUGGAUUCGCCCCUAAGUGUUGCAUGAAUCUUCCCUUUGUAUGUAAAAGUUGAUUCUGGAUUCUAAAGUGAAUUCCAAGUGUCUAUUUCAUUGCUUUGCUUGUUAUCGCUUUAAGAACGUUUGUUAUUCCUAUCCUUUCUUUGUUAGCCAUUACCCCCAAGCCCUGUUACAACCCUUGACUUCAAUCUUGAGUGUUGUGUGUUUCAAUUUGUGGAGUUUAAAAUUGGUAUGAGCAUAUGGUGUCACUGGUUCUCGCAUCUAAGUAGUAGCAUACCAUUCAUGAGAUCAUAUCUAAACAUGCUUAAUAACUCCAAAAAAUUGCUUCCUUUGUUAUAAGUCCUAGUCUCUAGUGUAGGGUGUGUAGUCAAAAAAUGUGUGCGAAAAUAGAGAGUAUUUUGUAAGGAAUUGAGCAAAUUCUCUAAGGCAUGUUACUACAUUCAAAACAUUGUUUUAAUUGGUUAAUUGUGAACUAGUAAGUAGUGACUGUGAUUAAGUUUGUGCUCAAGUGUGAAGAUAACCAAAAUCUGCGGGAAUGAUUAUUUUUAACAUGUCAUGUGCAUUGGAAAUCCCUGAGGCAAAUGUUAAAAGGUUAGGUUGUGUUUUGUUUGUUUUGUUUCGUUUUGUUUCUUUUGUUUUGCUCGAGGACUAGCAAAAUCUAAGUGUGCGGGAAUUUGAUAGGAGCAUAUUUAUGCAACUUAGUUAGCUUGUUUCUUGGCAUGUACUUAGUUUAAUUCUAGUUAUUUUAGUACUUUAAGCUAUUUUCGUGUGUUUGUAGGUUCAAAUAACAAAGUUAGCAACAAAGUGCUAUUUGGAGCAUUUUGGAGCAUUUUUGGGCCAAGAUUGGAAAGUGCAAGCAUGGAGACAUGAGGAUGGACAUUUUAGAAGAUUUCAAGGCUAGAAAUCAGCAUGUGUGUGUGCAACUGUGUUGACCUACAACUACAAACAUCCAUCCACUACACCCAUUAUACCCACUCAUUACCAAACAUCCAUCCACUACACCCAUUACAUCCACUCAUUACACCCAUUACAUCCACUCAUUACCAAACAUCCAUCCACUACACCCAUUACAUCCACUCAUUACCAAACAUUCCCCCACUACACCCAUUACAUGCACUCAUUACCACAACACUCACCCACUACACCCAUUACAUCCAUUCAUUACCAAACAUCCAUCCACUACACCCAUUACAUCCACUCAUUACCAAACACUCACCCACUACACUCAUUACAUCCACUCAUUACAAACAUUCACCCACUACACCCAUUACAUCCACUCAUUACCACAACAUACACCACUGCCACCUUAAUUAGAUGGUGGUCCUCUCCCUAGCCUAUAAAUACAUCCACUCUUCACCAUAACAAAGCGGGGGAGAUCCAUCCAAAGACACAUUCACACGGACAGUUUAGGGAGAAGGGAGGAAGACACAUUCUACCGCAAGGCAGAGUCUUUUCUUCUUAACCAUUCUACACAUUCCCACACCAAAAACACAACUCUAUGCACCUUCAUUUCCCUUUCCUUGCCGUGACCUCUAUCCAACCUAAACACAUUCAGCCAUUCCCUUUCAUAUAUCCAUACGCAUCCAUCAAACCACACCUUGUGCCACAACAAAGAGAAGAAUGAGGACCCUUGGACGUGCUUGCCAUUCAAGUUGGAUUGUUGGAGCGUUUUUAGGUGUUUUCAUUCUUUUGUUUUCAAUGUCUAAAUUUGUUUAUCUUUGCUUUGUGAGUAUGAGGAACUAAACCCCCUUUAGCUAGGGGGGAAUUUGAAACCAUGUUCAUGCUUGCAAUAUGAUUUGAUUACUUUCAAUUGUUAUUCAUAAGUUGUGAAUUCAAUUUACUUAUCCAUUUGAAUUAAAACUGAUUUGUGUGUGUUGUUUGAGAGUGCACACUUAAUUUUCAUGCAUAAAUUUGAUGCUAGGAUAUAAGGGAGUUUCACCUAAUCGUUAUGAACUUAUAUUCACAAGUAGUGAAGGUUGCUCGUCACAACCAUGUUAAGUAAAUUCUUGGCAUAAGUUUCAUGCAAUUCAUAGUUACAAGUGUUUCGUCAAUGCUUAUGAUUUUCAUAGAACUUAAUGAUUCUUGCUUGUAUCUCUAUUAUGCAAUUCAUGUAGGGAAUGCUUUGGGUUGUUGUAUUCAAUCAUCCAAUUCAAUGAAAUUAGGAAAAUCUGAGGGUUAAUUAGUGCAAUUCACAGUUAAUCUGGGGCAUUGAGAAUUCAUGGUUCAUUGGAAAGCAACUGGACAUCAUUUUGUUUGCAAGUGUGUCAUGUGUGGAGAAGAACCUCCUAGCUAACCUAUCAUCCAUAGUUUUACCCAAAUUCGUGCAGAUUUCAUUAGUUCUUUAAUUUACUUGUUUUGUUUUCAAUUUCGUCAAAACCAAACCCCCCCCCUGACCUUGUUGAGUCAUAUUAGUUAGAAACUGAUUUAGUUUAUGUUUUUAAGUGUUUCAAACCAAGUUAAAACCAAAAUUCGUCCAAAAGUAAUUUAGAGUCCAAAUAUGCCCAAUUUGUGUUUUUAGGCAAAUUUGGGCGUUUUUAGCUUGUUUUGAGUCUUUUGAGUUUGUUUUGAGUUCUUUGAGUCUAGUUUAGUGUUUUUAACUUUGUUUUUAUGUUCUUAAGUCAGUUUAGAGGUUAUUAGCAAGCCCUCCUAAUCCCCGGUCCAGAACGAUCCCUACUUACAUUCUUUACUACAAUUGAUACAAGAGGGUUUAAUUUGUGUGUUAAGUAAAUUUUCACAUCAACAGACUACCACAGGGGUUCCGGCUAACAUAUCAUAUUUCUAUGAAUUUAUUCUAACCUGAAUUGCUUACUCUGUUAUAUCUUGGCAUAGCAUACAUUUGAAUAUGAUUAUGUGAAGCCUGAAUUGAAUUGAUAUGAUUUCAUAUAUAUAUAUAUAUAUAUAUAUAUAUAUAUAUAUAUAUAUAUAUAUAUAUAUAUAUGUAUAUGCUUAUAUCUCGAUUCUAGGGAAAAUUAUACAUGUUUUACAGCGAGGGGUUAGAUAUGUUGAUAAAUGAAAUGAUUUUGUAAAACAUUUGUUUUUGCCCACUCACGUUUUCUAUUUUGCGCCCCUCUAGGUUUUAAGUAAGCUUGUUGUUGGUGGCUUGAAGACGUCGGCAGUUCUGACUUAUCUAAAUAAUAGUAGGACAUUCUUGGUACUGUAUAAUUAGUACUUGUCCUACUGGAUUGCACCUAGACUUUAUGCUCUGAUUAGGAGUGUUUACUGUUGUAACUAACUCCUAUCACUUUCUGUUUAGUAAUGCACUCUGUUGAAUCAUGUGGAGAAGACCUUUCAGGUGAUGCAAAGUCAGGGGAAUCUUUCUUCUGAUAGGUGGGUCGAGACGACUACCUGGUUUUUGGGAGAAUAGCCUGCAUCCUGGUGGAGACAAGAGUCUUACCAAAUGACCCCAGAAGAGAUUGUGGACUGGGGAGUGUUUAAGAAGCUGUUUCGAAAAAGGUUUAUUCCUUCUGCAUAUAUCGAUCUUAAGAAACAAGAGUUUACUCAUCUGAGGCAAGGAAAAAUGUUCGCUAAUGAGUAUUAUAGGAUGUUUACUGAUUUGUCGAGAUAUGAUCUGGAGGUUGCUGCUAAUCCGGUAGAGAUGCUUCGCCAUUUCAGUUUGGGUACUAAGAAGAAAUGGCGUUCCAUAGCGACAUCGACUCACUGUGCCUCUUACCAGGAGUUUUAUAAGAUUCUACUGAGGAUUGAGGCCUCAGAGAACAUGCCUAGUGAAAGUGAGGAUGAGGAAGGAAAGAAUGGAGGCCAGAGACAAGAUGACAAAUGAAAAGGGCAAGCAUUUCAGGGACCUCGCAAGACCCAGAACUUUAAGAUGAGUGGUGGCAGUUUCAGUUCUUCUAGCGGAGGAUUGAGUACUAAUAUGCAGAGGAGAGGUGGUAGAUUCACUGGAGGUCCGAGGUUCCAGAGGCAGAGAGAUUUUGGUGGUUCAGGUGGAUCUGGUACUCCCUUAUGUCGCAGGUGUAAUAAUCGGCAUUUUGGGGAGUGUAGGAGAGGCAACAAUGGAUGUUUUACUUAUGGUCAGAUGGGUCAUCGGGCUGCCCAAUGCCCUCAGAGUCAAUAGAGACCCCAGCAGCCUUCUUUCCCACCACCUGCACCGACCCAGCAAACAUCAGGAUAUGGUGGUUAUUCUCAGACUGGACGAGGAGGUGCCUACCACUAUCAGGUCAAUGCCGCUCCUUACACCUCAGGACAACAACAGUACUCUCAGGAUCCUCAGUAUCAUAGUGGGUACCCUCCGUAUCAGGGAGGAUCUAUGUCUUAUCAGCCUCAUUCAGCCGGAGGAUCUCAGUGGUACCAAGGGGGAUAGCCCCAACAAGGAGAAAUUGUUGCUAGUAGUGCAAGAUCUUCGAGGCAAUCGGGUCAAUAGAGGCAGGGACGUGGUAUUCAUGCCAACAGAGGUCGCGGUGGACGGCAGCAGAAUCAGGGGUGUAUCCACAACAUGUCACUGCAAGAUGCCCAGAAUAAUCCAGAUUUAAUCAUGGGUACAUUAAAUAUUCUUGGUCACUUUGCUAGAGUAUUGAUUGAUUGUGGUGCUACACAUUCUGUUAUUUCUCAUGCAUUUGCUCAAGUGACACAACCUCAUCCUACAUCUCUAGGAUAUAAUUUAGAAUAUUCUAUACCUAUAGGGGAUAAAUGUUUUGUGGAUCGGGUAUAUCCAGGAUGUCCAGUGAUAGUAGAGGAUAUUAUUAUGCCGGCUAAUCUUAUGUCGUUAGAUAUUAUGGAUUUUGAUGUGAUUUUGGGCACUGAUUGGUUACACUAUAAUCGUGCCAAGAUAGAUUAUUAUGGGAAGACAGUCACAUUUCAUUGUCCUGGAUUACCUGAAGUUACAUUUGUAGGAGAGCCUAGUGGGGUGAGGCAUGGUAUUAUUUCAGCCAUGAAAGCAAAAAGAUUGUUGUCGAAAAGUUGUCAGGGAUAUUUGGCUCAUGUGGUGUUAAAUGAUGAUGCUCCUAGUAGUGUGGAGGAUGUUCGUGUGGUCAGAUAUUUUCUGAAUGUAUUCCCUAAGGAUUUGCCUGGAUUGCCGCCAGAUAGAGAGCUGGAGUUUGUUAUUGAUCUGCUUCCAGGUACGAAUCUUAUAUCUUUGACUCAUUACAGAAUGGCUCUUGCUGAAUUAAGAGAGCUGAGAGUGCAAUUGCAAGAGUUAGUGGACAAAGGUUUUAUUCAGCCGAGUACUUCACCUUGGGGAGAUCCAAUUUUAUUUGUGAGGAAGAAAGAUGGAACUUUGAGGCUGUGCAUUGAUUACAGGCAAUUGAAUCAAGUAACCAUUAAGAACCGUUAUCCAUUGCCUCGUAUAGAUGAUUUAUUUGAUCAACUCAGAGGUGCAUGUGUAUUUUCUAAGAUAGAUUUGAGGUUAGGUUACUACCAGUUGAAUAUUAAAAAUGAAGAUGUCUCUAAAACCGCAUUCAGGACUCGAUAUGGUCAUUAUGAGUUCCUUGUGAUGUCAUUCGGGUUAACUAAUGCACCAGCAGCUUUUAUGGAUUUGAUGAAUCGAGUAUUCCAGCCAUAUUUGGACAGGUUUGUUAUUGUCUUCAUUGAUGAUAUUCUGGUAUACUGUAAUUCUAAGGCUGAGCAUGCUAGACAUUUGAAGUUGGUGUUGAGCAGUUUGAGAGAACACCAACUAUAUGCUAAGUUUAGCAAAUGUGAAUUUUGGUUGAAUCAAGUGGCAUUUUUGGGACAUGUCAUUUCUGCUCAAGGCAUUCAAGUGGAUUCACAGAAAGUAGCAGCUAUGGAUAAUUGGGAGCAACCUCGAACCAUCAUCGAGGUACGGAGUUUUCUUGGCUUAGCAGGUUAUUAUAGACGGUUCGUUAAGGAUUUUUUAGUGAUUGCUCUGUCAUUGACGAGGUUAACUCGAAAGGAUGUUAAGUUUGAGUGGGAUAAUAAAUGUGAACAAAGUUUCCAGCAGUUGAAGUACUAUCUCACUCAUGCUCAUGUUCUAGCACUUCCAGAUGAUAACGGUAAUUAUGAGGUUCAUAGUGAUGCUUCUCUGAGUGGUUUGGGUUGUGUAUUAAUGCAUCAUGGUAGGGUGAUUUCUUAUGCUUCGAGACAGUUGAAACCUCAUGAGAAGAAUUACCCUACACAUGAUUUGGAGUUAACCGUUAUCAUCUUUGCCUUGAAGAUUUGGAGACAUUAUCUUUAUGGUGAGAAAUGUAAGAUCUUCACAGAUCAUAAGAGUCUUCAGUAUCUGUUUACUCAGAGAGAUCUUAAUCUUCAUCAGCGAAGGUGGAUUGAGUUACUUAGUGACUAUGAUUGCACGAUUGAGUAUCAUCCUAGUUGUGCAAAUGCAGUGGCGGAUGCACUUAGUAGAAAAACUCCAGCUAGACUUAAUGUCAUCUAUGAUUGUCAUGUUCCUCUUCUAGCAAAUUUAAGGUCCACUGGAGUGGAGUUAGGAGUGGAAGAUCGAGAAGAAGCCUUGCUUGCUAAUUUCCAGGUUAGACCAAUUUUAAUUGAUCGUGUGCUUGAAGCUCAAAUGAAUGAUGAAAAGACCCAGGAAAUAAUUCAAGCAAGAAAUCAAGGCAAAAAGAAAGAUUUCGAAAUUCAAGAAACCGAUGGCAUGCUUAUGCAGGAAAGCAGAAUGUAUGUGCCGAAUAAUACAGAGUUAAAGAAAGAAAUUUUGGAUGAAGCAUAUAUUUCGGCAUAUGCAAUGCAUCCAGAAGGCACUAAGAUGUAUCAUACCAUUAGACCAUUUUAUUAUUGGCCGGGUAUGAAAAGAGAAAUUGCCGAAUAUGUGAGUAGGUGUGCCAUUUGCCAACAGGAUUAAGCUGAAAGGAAGAAGGCAUUUGGUUUGAUGCAGCCAUUUCCCGUUCCACAGUGGAAAUGGGAAAAUAUUACUAUGGAUUUUGUGUACAAGCUUCCUCGUACACGGAAUGGAUAUGACGGCAUUUGGGUGGUAGUUGAUCGGCUUACAAAGUCAGUACAUUUUAUUCUAAUGAGGGAGAAGUAUUCGUUAAGCCGAUUAGCUAAGUUAUUUAUAUCACAAAUUGUGAAGUAUCAUGGUGUGCCAGUUAAUAUUAUCUCGGAUCGGGAUCCUAGAUUUACUUCCAAGUUCUGGAUAGCAUUCUAGGAAGCUCUUGGUACAAGAUUGCUUUAUAGUACGUCAUAUCACCCUCAGACUGAUGGACAAUCUGAGAGAACUAUUCAAACAUUAGAAGAUAUGUUGAGAUCUUCAGUGCUGCAGUUUGGAGAUAGUUGGCAUGAUUGUUUGGAUUUGAUGGAGUUCACCUACAACAACAGUUAUCAUUCAAGUAUUGGUAUGGCACCAUUCGAGGCACUUUAUGGGAAAUCUUGUCGUACGCCUCUAUGUUGGUCAAAGGUUGGCAAAAGAGUUUUACUGGGCCCUGAGAUUGUGGAUGUGACUACUCAAAAUGUUCAGGUAAUUAAGACUACUCAAAAUGUUCAAGUAAUUAAGUCUAACCUGAAAGCGGCCCAAGAUCGACAAAAGAGCUUAGCAGACAAGCAUGUCACUGAUCGGAAAUAUGAUGUAGGUGAUUGGGUAUUUCUGAAGCUAUCACCUUGGAAAGGUGUAGUACAAUUUGGAAAGAAAGGAAAGUUGAGUCCAAGGUUCAUUGGACCAUAUAUUAUCACCGAGCAAGUCGGUGAGGUUGCUUACAGGCUUGAGUUGCCUCCAGAGUUAUCCAAGGUGCACGAUGUAUUUCAUGUUUCGAUGCUUCGGCAUUAUGUUUCAGAUCCUUCACAUGUGAUUCCUCCUCAACCUUUGGAAAUCAAUUCGGACUUGACUUAUGAUGAGGAGCCAAUGACUCUGUUGGAUUGGAAGGAUAAAGAACUAAGAAAUAAGAUAGUACGCUUGGUGAAAGUUUUAUGGAGAAAUCAUUCAGUGGAAGAAGCUACUUGGAAGACAGAUGAUCGGAUGAGAGAGAUGUAUCCAUGCUUGUUUUAUGAUUAUUAGUGGAUGUAUUGGUUGUAUAUAAUUUCGAGGACGAAAUUUUAUAAGGUGGGGAGAUUAUCACAGCUCGUCCUAGAGAUGUACGUUAAUUAUUUAUCGGAGGUGUGAAAAGUCGGAAUUACCCCUAGACGUUGAGUUGUAUUAUUGGUUUAAUUGUGUUUUUUGACCAAUAUUCUUAAAUCCUAAUUGUUUGGAACCAAUUAGGAUUAGAGUUUGGUGUAUUGUGGGUUGUUGACUAUUUUAGACCACACAUCACUCCUCCAUUCUCUCUCUCACUCCCGUGCACUCUCUCUCUCUCUAUUUCACUCUCUCUCUCCUUCGAACUCGUACAAACAAUCACCCAAAACCCUUGAAACUUCACGAAUCGUGGUCAAAGUUGGCACCAUUGUGUUCGUGAAGCUCAAACGAGUCGAUUGGUACCCAUUUCAGGUAAGGAUACCUUCGAAAACCCUAGUUUUUCAUAACCCCGAUUUGUGCACUGUUUAUACACACACGUAAUUAUGGAUGUUUUUGGGAAUUUGAAGCUUAUAGGAAGCUUAGUGAGGUCCUAAGGAAGCUCGGAGUGCUUCGUUUGAAGGUUUUGGAUUUCGGGAUCGUGUGGACGAAGUUUGGCCGGUUUUUCUUGGAAUUCUCCGAUGAGAUCCUAUGACUUUUAGAACUUUAAGUUAGUAUGAUUGUGUUCUACAAGUUAAGAGCUUCAUUUUGGUAUAAAUUGUGUGAAAAAUGGUGCAAAAAUGAGCAAGAAAUAGGCAAUUGCAGGUCUGCCCAGAAUUCGGCGUCGGUGACACUAUUCCGACGUUUGGAGGUUGAAGAUGUCGUGCAUGGGGGACGCGUUUUGCCGUGCCCUUACCGGCGCAUGGGAGCCUGAAAAAUUUAUCUAAAAAUUUUGGGAUGAUCCUGAGGUUGUGUAGGUCACUAUGGUGUAUUCAUAUACCUAGUUUGAGCAAUGUAUGAGAAGUUAUUAGCUAGUUUCACCUGUGUGCUUUAAAAUAACGUUUUUAUAGUUAAUUCGCAUAUAGGUGAGGCUUAUCCCGAGGACGAGCGUAUCCACGGGCGACUCAGGGGCUACGAUCCUUCGACAUACCAGUGAGUGGGCUUUUGUUUUUAGUAUAUACUUAAAUACUUGAGCUCAAGUAAGUUAUGUUUGGUUAUAUGAAUUAUCGAUGAAGUGAUAUGUGAUUGAAUAAUAUUGAGCUCAUAAAACUGCACCUACGGUGAUUGUGAUUUAGUCAGAGAUGUGAAGUACAUGCCUGUUUAUUUACGUCACCUCCCGCACUAUAUGCUCAUAUUGGAUCCAACUUAAGUGCAUAGUCUUGUCGUACAGACCUUAUUUAUGGUUCCGACUCGUAGGUGACUAGCGAUUUAUCGUCCGACUAUUAUGAGAGAGUAAAGUUGAGCAUAAUUAUAUUACACCCAAUCUUGUAGUACAGACCUCUUUUUAGUGGUUCCGACUUAUGUGCAGUAUAUUACCGUAUAGGUCAUUGGAGUGACUCCAGCUAGAUUAACUUUUGAGCUAUGAAUUCAGCCGUACAGACUACCAUAGGGGUUCCGGCUAACAUAUCGUAUUUCUAUACAUUUAUUCUUACCUGAAUUGCUUACACUGUUAUAUCUUGGCAUAUCACACAUUUGAAUAUGAUUAUGUGAAGCAUGAAUUGAAUUGAUAUGAUUUCAUAUAUAAAUAUAUAUAUAUAUAUAUAUAUAUGUAUGUAUAUGCUUAUAUCUUGAUUCUGGGGAAAAUUAUAUAUGUUUUACAGCGAGGAGUUAGAUAUGUUGAUAAAUGAAAUGAUUUUCUAAAACAUUUGUUUUUGCCCACUCACGUUUUCUGUUUUGCGCCCCUCCAGGUUUUAUGUAAGCUUGCUGUUGGUGGCUUGAGUAUAUCGGCAGUUCUGACUUAUCUAAAUAAUAGUAGGACAUUCCUGGUACUGUAUAACUAGUACUUAUCCUACUGGACUGCACCUAGGCUUUAUGCUCUGAUUAGGAGUGUUUAGUGUUGUAACUAACUCCUAUCACUUUCUGUUUAGUAGUGCACUCUAGUAAAUUGGUUUUCAAUUAUUCGUAUAAUUCUUAUCAUUAUUGCUUCCGCACUGUGCACAUGGCUACGUCACUCUCACAUGACGGCCAGCAUACCUUGAUCUCGGUCGGGAUGUGUCAUUAUGAAAUGAAACAUAUAUAUAGGUUUUUUUUAUGAGAAAUAAAUUUAUUAAAUAGGGAAACUUCCAGACCAACCAGUACCGAUACAGUCAAAGUUAAAAGCUACUAAAACUGAAGUAAGGAGACAAUGGUCCCAAAAGUGAGGGUUCGAAACCGCCACCCCCACAUCAGCCAUCUUAUUAGCCACAAAGUUGGCUUCCCUAAAUAUAUGCCUCCAACGAAUAGAGUGAAAACUAGUAGCCAGCCAUUUAAUGUCUUCGAUAGUAGAAAGGAGAUGCCAAUAGGGUUUCCAUAUCCCAGUCACUAGAUUUAUAUUAACAGGGAGUCACCUUCAACCUCCAGCCUCUUGAUGUCUUUCCGUCUUGUGAAUAAGAGGCCCUCCUAAAGGGCCACAGCCUCCGCAACCGAGAUAGUGGCCCCAUCCAAAUUGCAGGCCCCAGCUCCCACCGUCAAUCCCUAGUCAUUUCACACCACAAAACCCACUCCAGCCUUUCCUUGAGUCUCCGACCCAUCAAAAUUUAAUUUUAACCAACCCUAAUCAGGGGACCUCUAGCGAAUAAGGCCUUGAUGCAACAACAAAUUUGACUCCACAAUCUUGGCAUUUGAUUAAAAGUAAUCCAGUCCUAACUUGGCAGCAACGGACACACAUCUUGGCAGGAAUAAGGCCACACUGCGAAACACCGUAUUAUUCCUUUCAUUCCAGAUUUGCCAGCAAUGUAAAAGGGGUUUAUUAAGUUCCAAUAACCCUUUUUUGUAGAGCUGUAGAGAAAAUUAAGCCGCCCAAUAGCAUUAUUCCAAUGGAUUGAAUUAUUCGACCAAGGACAUAAAGAGGACAACGUCUACACGUUUUUUUGCAAACUCACAAUUAAGAAACAGGUGCGUUUGAUUUUCCUCCUCCGUACCACAAAUAGGGCAAGACUUAUCUAAAGUACGAAUAAACCUGCCAAGUCUGUCUUUUGUAUUCAAUUUACCAUUGAUCAAAAUCUAAGCAAAGAUUUUAACUUUGGCAGAAUCGUUAGCUUCCACAUUUGCUUGAGCAAUUUUUUCCAGUUGACAGUUUGGUUACUAUUCCUUUGAAUCCCGCUGAUUUAAUAGAGAACUCUCCAGAAGAAUGAUCACAAGACAAAUUUUCUUGACAAUAUCAGCAUCCAGAAUACUUAAUAAUUUAUUCAAAAAGUCACUUACCCAUAAAUUACAAUUGAUAUUCUGCUUUUGUGUUUCUGGUAUAAGAUGGAACAACGGGUAAGAAAAAACCCAACAAUGAGUCCAUAAGAGAAUCUCCUUACCAUUACCCACCACCCAUCUCAAACCCAUAUCAAUAACAUGCCUACCUAAAUUACACAAUGAGUUUUAUAUGUACUUUAAUUUCAUUACCUUGUGAGCCUUCCUUGCAUGCUGGAUGAAAUGGUUUGCCCCUCCUUGUGGUAAUACUUUUGUUUCUUACGAUUAUAUAAAUUUUGCUUGAAAACAUCCUACAUUUAAAGGUCAUUAAUUAACAAGAAAUACAUAUCUAGUUUCAUACCACAAACUACUUAUUCAGUGUAAUUUUAAAACAUUCAACUUUUAUAAAGAUCAAAUUGAUAUCACUACUAAUGAUUCUAAAAGAUAAGUCCUAAUAUUAUCCCCCAAGGUGUCUCACCUCUUGAACACACCUGCACAACUGACCAUACCACCCAUUGUACAUCUAGAGAACUCCCGAAUUCUUCAUUAACAGCAAGGCAAGGACAACAAAGCAUGGAUAAGGUUGUAUGUGAUUUCAGAGGGAGAGGAGGAGAAUGUGGGGUUGGAGUUGCAACCCUAGUUAUUUCGAUUGUUAUUAUACAAUCUAAGAGCUCAAAUUCAUAUAAGCAUUACUUAUGGCUCAGCCCCUGCUCAAAUCCUUGUAAAUUUUUGUAAGUUUUCUAAGACACCAAGGUAAAACAAAAUCAUCAUCGAGCAACAAAAACACAACCACCAUGCCCCAUUGAAAGCAAAGGCACAAAUUAUUCAUAGGAGCAAAUUAAGCACAACUAUUAUAUAUGGCAAAAUUACAGUACUUGAAAAAUUAAUAGGACCUAAUCUCAAGUCGGUGAAAGAGUUACUUGGGCCUUAUCAAAGGCUAGAGCUCCAUGGGAAGAGAUGGGAAACACAUCUUAGAUAAACAUACAAUUAAACAAGCUUUCUGUUUCUAAAAAAUUCAAAUAGAACACAUAAUAGAGACAUGCCUAAGCCAGACAAAAAUUAUAGAAGUAAAGGAAAUCAUAUCAUGGUAGCUUGAUUCUUCAAAUUGUAACCAAAUACCUUUAUAACAGCAACACAUGCAAUUGAUGCCAAAAAAAUCACUAAAUAAUAACAAAUUAGAUAAAAAUAAAUGGGGUUUAAAUAGAACAAAGCAUGCGAAAUCUGAUAAUUAGCAAAUUAGUCAUAAAAAAGGAUUAAAUUGAACAAAAACUACAAAACCCUAAUAAUAUGUUAAAUUAGGGAACUACAAAUUUUAAGUUAAUUUAAAAAAAAAAAUGAAACAAAACCCCUUACUAAUUACCUCAAAUAAGCAAAAUCCCUUCAACGAUUCGUGGACACAAAGGCAGUCUCGUUGGUGUGGGACUUAUGGCGUGGAAUUGGGUUGUUUAUGGAGCAUGACAGAGAGAGGAAGACGGAUGUGGAGGAGGAAGGCUACUGGUUUGCUCAAUUUUGGGGGCAAUUAUCUGCAAAUUCAAAACCCUAAGUUAAAAAGAAUUGAUAAUAAAUGAAACAAUUUUACCCAAAUAGAGACUUGGGAAGGUGAAUCCUUGGAUGCGGAAGUGAAGGGCUACUCGAAGCUCAAUAUUGGAGACAGAUACCCUUUGAAUCCAGCACAAAAAUCAUAAUUGAACAAAAGGAGAACUAUUGGACGACAAAUCGAGGUAGUCUGGUUGGUGCGGGGCAUGAAUUUGGCUUGUUGGUUGAAUAGGUCUCUAGGGUUUUUGGUUGUGGAGAGUGAUAGAGAGCGAAGGGAUGAGAGAGGAUCUGAGCGAUUGGCUCGGAAGAUCCUGGUACUGUUGUAGUAAAGACAGAACAAAAUUGAGGGAUGAGACGGCCAGCGGAUUUUAGGUCACGGUGAUGGAGAGAUGGGAGAAGUCUGAGAGCGAGAAGAGGAAAGUGAAUGAGAGACGGGGAAUAUUCUCAAAAAAAAUUAAUAUUUGAUUCAGUCUAUUAUUUUGUUGGAACUUUAUUCCUUCUUUGUAAUGUGAUGACCACUUUCCUCACAAAAGAUUCAAAUAUGUGACCCACUUUGAAAUUCCUCGCAUACCCUAUUUCAUAUGGCGCCAUUUUGUCCCGCCAUAUAUUUUAUUAAGGACUUAGAAAAUUUUGUGCCACUACUUCUUCAUUUUAAAGGAUAUUAAAUAAUUGGUGAUGCUUGCCGUAUUUGUCACUUAAUUUUGGAAUAUGUGACGUAUUUAUUGUCACAUAAGUUGGUCCAAAUUUCGUACCUAGCAAACCAAUUAUGUGUGACACGUUUAACAUUUCGUCACAUAAUUUUCUUAUAUGUGACAAAUAUUUGGGCGUCGCAUAUAAUUUGGUCACCUUUUCCAUGUUUUCUUGUAGUGUUUCAUUUAACCAGCAUCCAUUCACAGUGGCACAGUCUAGUAUUUCAUAAACCCUUCUACUGCCAUUUUAAUUAUUGCACCAAGUAAAUGGGACCCUAAGGCAUUGAGAGAAAUAAGUCUCCCUUUAUUAAGGAAAUCCAGAAAUCUAUUCAUGAACACUGUGGUUACUUGACAACCACCCUUCUUCUCAGGUAAAUCCCAGAUAUUAUUGAAAUCCCCCAUUAAGCACCAAGGUUUAUCCCCUGAAUCUAGCUAUAGUAAAUCUUCCCAAAGACUAACCUAGAGAUGCUUUUGAGGAAAGGCAUAAACAAAGGUAACUAGAGAUUCAAAGUUUAAGGCCUUAUCAGUCACUAAACAAUGAACAAAAUGAGAAGAACUGGCAAUCACAAUAAUAAUAACUUUGGCAGAGUUCCAAAAUAGAACCAAAGCCCCAUCUCUACCAGUGGGAUCACAGCUAACAAACUGAUCAAAUUAGCUACCAUAAAAGUUCCCUUAGACCUUAUCCACAUUCAUUUUGGUUUCCAUUAAACAAAACAUGUUAAUUAUAAAACUAGUACAUAAAAAACUAAAAUUACUUUUAAAAUUCGGCCUCCAUAUGCCCCUACAAUUCCAAGUCAUAGACUUCAUUAGUCAAUUUCUUCAAGUUGGCUCUUGUAGGUUGCCUCUGCUUCUGUAAACUCCUCGCGGAUUCUCUUCCUUGGACUUAUCAGCCCUACAGUUGGUCUGGUUAGAACCUGAGUGUCCUCAGCAACCAUGCUAGCCACCACAGCAUCCCAAACACUUCUACUAUUUUCCCCCACAAACUUACUACCCUCUUGCACACUUACAUCCUGGACACAAACACAUCAAUCAACCACUACCAAACUAGAAGCAUGAUCAAAGUAGUACAUGCAAACAUACUUAAAAUAAACCAAACACAGACAUAAUUUAUUUUCAAGAAAAUUCAACCAUGGGUUAUCUUCCAAACAAUCACUCUGCAUAGUACCUUUUAACAAUUAACAUGCUAGGCAAAGAAUCAGACUCAUUUGACUCAAACCAAAUCAGGUAGUUAAAACAUAUAAUUUCCUCCUGCUUCUGCUCUGUGCCCUUGUCUGUUUUUCCUCCAAUCCUGCACAAGAUCCGCAUGAGCCACCCACUUAUACUUAGAACCUUUGUUGCUCUCUUUGGGAACAUUGUCUUCCCAAACCUUCACAUUAGCUCUUUGCUUAUCAGCCCUUUAGCGCCAUCUUGGGAUCACCGUUGUCCAACCCUCCUCAUCAGGACCUUCACCAUCAUUUUUUUGAACUCCCUUUUCUGCUUCCAUGUUUUCCUCUUCCUAUGUCACAGCUACAGGGAAACACUGCAGCACAUUACUUUGUAAAGCUUCCUUUAUGUCCCUUCCACUUAAAGAUCCUCCAGGAAAAUUCUUAGUUCAUCAUCAAAUACUUUCUCAAUCAUGAAACAACCAUCAUCGACCUCCUCUUCAAGACAAUAGUGGUUGCCACCCCUCUUACAUCCGCAGUAGAAUCACACUUCAAAGAUUUUUUCAUAGCUCACUAGAAUUGGGUUUUUGUCAUCUUGAUUUACUAGUAGGACUCUCUUUAGCAGAAACCUUAAGUCCACUUCGACUAACACCUUGACAAACAAACCAUUGAGACUAAGAGUAACCUCAUCAACCCUCCAAAUAUCUCUCAAAGGCUACGCAAUGGUCUUGAUGAUUUUGUCCUUGUACUGCAGAGGAAGCUUUGGUAGCCUAGCCCAAAGAACAAGCUUGCUGAUAGCAUCCAUGUCGCUGAAUUGUGUCGUCCAUCUCUCCAAAUGAAAUACCUGACCAUGAACAUACAAAGGCCUAUUGCUGAAGACGAAGUCCAAGUCACCAACAUCCAAGAAUUCCAGUGCAAAUCAUCUCAUACCAUAGUGAUUGAGGUAAAAGUUGUUCUUUACCCCAUUCUUCCUAAGAAACCCUAGCUUCCAUUUGAUUAAGCAAGCCUUCAGAUGUUGGUCGAACAUCUUACCCAUGAGAACAUGAGACUUCAUGUGCUCCACAUUAAGGUUAGAGCACAGAGUGUACUACCCUAGUAACCUCGCACUCCAUGUAAAGGUUCCAAACGCUUUCUUAGCAACUACAGGUUCUUCCCCAAGUUGGGGAAGGGGAAAAGGUUCACCCACCAAGGAACAUACUGGUCUGAACAAAUCCUGGGUCUCCUAGGUAAGAGGAAGAAGAAGUGAAAAAUUGGGAGUUGGCUAUUGUAGUGAGAUGGAACAAACAAGGUAAAAAACCAAGCAGAAAAGAUAGGAUGAGCCCCUUCCAUGUCCAAACCUCACUUAACUAUCUAACAUUUGGGGGAUCCAACCGUUAAGGAAUAGGAUACACUUCCAAUGCAAGGCAGAGUAUUCCCAACAUGACAUAAGAUAAACCUCAUGAUGAAAAUACUUAACAGAUAAUUGGGCACAUCAAACUGCACAAUCCAAGUUACCAAGUAAGAGUGGUAUAAUCCAUACCUCAUUAAUCUGGCAUCACAAACCAAAGCAGCAAAUAAGCAUAACCGACACACAUAUAUAACCAAUACCAGGAUUAAAGGUGCAAUAACCAAGGAAGCAUGGAAAAAGCAAUAAUUAGCACAACUCAAAAACCUAAGCACAAAUAGCAUGGCAGAAAACCAGCAAAUCAAGAGGUCAGAACACCAAGCGUUUAAACACUCAAUUGAAGAUCCUCUAAGCCUAUGAGACUUACACUCACAAACCCUAAUUACCUAAAACCCUAGCACCAAUAAUUUAAGUCCCCUCCACUUCAAACCAGACCAAUCUCAGCCAAGGAAGAGCCACGUUUGAAACCAAAACCAGCAAAAGCNNNNNNNNNNNNNNNNNNNNNNNNNNNNNNNNNNNNNNNNNNNNNNNNNNNNNNNNNNNNNNNNNNNNNNNNNNNNNNNNNNNNNNNNNNNNNNNNNNNNNNNNNNNNNNNNNNNNNNNNNNNNNNNNNNNNNNNNNNNNNNNNNNNNNNNNNNNNNNNNNNNNNNNNNNNNNNNNNNNNNNNNNNNNNNNNNNNNNNNNNNNNNNNNNNNNNNNNNNNNNNNNNNNNNNNNNNNNNNNNNNNNNNNNNNNNNNNNNNNNNNNNNNNNNNNNNNNNNNNNNNNNNNNNNNNNNNNNNNNNNNNNNNNNNNNNNNNNNNNNNNNNNNNNNNNNNNNNNNNNNNNNNNNNNNNNNNNNNNNNNNNNNNNNNNNNNNNNNNNNNNNNNNNNNNNNNNNNNNNNNNNNNNNNNNNNNNNNNNNNNNNNNNNNNNNNNNNNNNNNNNNNNNNNNNNNNNNNNNNNNNNNNNNNNNNNNNNNNNNNNNNNNNNNNNNNNNNNNNNNGCAUUCCUUGUUGGUAUAGCCAUCCAAUUGUGCUUUCAGCAACGCAGAAAAGAAAUAAAUUCCUUGCUGGUGCUUUCAGCAAUUCAACUGGGUUUUCCACAACGGAACCUGCGGUGGUGUUCCGAGGGGGAGGGGCGCUCCAUGACGGGAGGAAAAUGGCAGCUGAGUUUGUAGAUCAAGCAGCAAAAGAGGAACUUGAAGCGGAGUUUUUACUUGGGCUCUGCUGGUAAGUGAAGAAUCAGCUUUUUCAGAAAUUGGUUGGUUUGGUAUACAGUCAAUUUCUUUUUGUUCUUAAGCAUUGAAUUAUUUAAUUUCUUCUUCUAAGCAUUGAAUGAUCUAAAUUUGCAUUAAGAAAUUAAAUAAAAAGAAAGAUAAAAUGGAGCAACAAAACUACCACUUGCUCUGUGUACGUGGAUUGGUGCAUCCCAUCUUGUUUUGUUGUCCUUGAUUCAUUAGACAAGCGGAAUUCGAGGAGCUAAAGCGGAUUGUAGCUCCCAUGGAGAAAAUUUUAGUUGUGACGGCAAUGUGUAAAUCUACGCAAUGUUUUAGCAACUCCGGCACCGGAGAUGCUGUUUUUAAUAUGUACCCGCUCUUUAUUACCGUCACCAUCACAAUUUAGAGCAUGAGCGGUGACUGAGAGUGUUAAAACUGGUGGUAGCGCCCCAUUUAACACCCCAGCACCAUAUGGACUGUUAUCGUUUGGUAAUAUGUUAUUUUGUAUGAUUCGGUUUUGUAAUUACAACCAAGGGGAGCUGAUAAUUUUGGUUUUAUUGGCAGAAAAGUGAUGGUCUAGGGGAAAACAUUGGUUGUAUCUGUCAGUUCCACGCCUUCAUCUGCAGCUGCUACACCUUUCAGACAAUAGCAAUAGUCAACCUCAAUGGAUUCGAAGAAAUCCAUGCCCAAGUUGCUCGAUCUUUUGAAAAGAGCCAAGGCUGUGGUCAAGGACCCUGAGGCAGUUGGACUCUUGGGACUUGAAGAGAGAAGCUUCUCCAAAUGGAAAAUAAAGAGUUGCUACCCAAAGUGAAGCUCUUUGAUCAAACUUUGUCGAAGCAAUUCACUGCCCUAGAACGCGGACUUGGAAAGAUUAUCUUGGGAGCUGAAAUCACUUCCAUGAGCGAAAAGGAUAUGAAGAACACCCUAGAUCUCAUGAAAGAAAGUGUCGAUCAGAUAUUUAAAGACACAAUCCCUCUAGUGGAGAGAAUGACCGCCCCAGGACCCAUUUCAGAGCCACAGGUGCAUCGGUCUAAGGUCGAUCAGUCAGGACUAGAUCAGAAGAUGUCACAAGAGUGGUCACAACUGGGCCUGGAGGAUAUAAUUUAUGAGACUCCUGCCAUGGCUAAAACAAGGAGGACUUACGAAGAUCUUGAAAGCAUGGAUUUGAAGCUGUGCUUCCUCUCUUUCUCAAUCUUCCCGGAUGGUUCCGUGAUGAAGAAGAGGCCUCUGAUUUACUGGUGGAUUGGCGAGGGCUUCAUCACGUCCACCCAACAGAAGACAGCAGAAGAGGUAGGAGAAGAUAUAUUUGAAAAACUAAUGAGAAAGGGCUUGAUUAAUCAAACUGGCUCAAAGCCAUCCUCCUGUCCGUUUGUAAAGAGUUGUGCAUUGAACCCUUGGAUACGUCGUAUGUUGGUCGCCUUGGCCAGCAAAGCUAGGCUGUUUCACUUUGAUUCAGAAUGGCGAAGAAUGCCAUCUUAUGAUACCUUAACCUGUAGGCGUGCAUGCUUAGUUUAUAAUAAUCAAAUUCGUCAGGGUGAUGAUGGCCCAAAGGUGGACGAUCUGUUGACUGUAUUCAAUGUCAAUGCGCAAUAUCUUGGUUUGAAAAGAGAAUGGCUUAAUAAGUUGAAGAAGGUUGCGGUUCUUCAGCUUGGGCGCUGGCAGGACUCGGCUACGCAUCAUAUUGAGGUGGAUGAUGAAGACUUUGUGAACCAAGAAGAUGUGGGAUUUCUAAAAGGUUUGGGGACUCAGAAUAAGCACUUGAAGUAUCUUAGCCUCAGAGGAAUAUCAAGAAUUACCCAACUCCCCUCUUCUAUCCUUAAUCUUAGAAGCCUUGAGAUUCUGGAUCUUCGAGCAUGUCACAACUUAGAGACGAUGCCUUCAGAUAUCUCCGCAUUAAGGAAGCUCACCCAUUUGGAUAUGUCGGAGUGCUACUUGCUUGAACGCAUGCCAAAAGGGCUUGACAAACUCUCUUCGCUCCAAGUUCUGAAAGGUUUUCUCCUAGGGCCUUCGAAAAAUAGUCCCUGUAAACUUGGUGAUCUCGCCAAGUUGAAGAAUUUGAAGCGGCUCAGUAUACACAUGGGGAAUGAGUCUGAAGUUCAAAAGGGGGAACUCAACAAGUUGAAGGACAUUUCAUCUCUUUGCCGCCUUAAAAUAUCUUGGGGUUUGGUUUCUUCCGAGUUAAAAGACCAAAUUGCCAAUGAAUUCUCAUUUCCACCGCCGAAUUUGGAAAAAUUGGACCUCCAAGGUAUCCCCCUAGAGCACGUACCAAGAUGGCUGAACCCGAGACAACUCGGAAAUUUAAAGAAGCUGUACAUAAGGGGUGGAGAACUUUCCAGCUUAGAUCAUGGGGUGACUGGUGCUGUGUGGAAGGUAGAAAUCUUGCGUCUCAAGUACUUGAAGAAAUGGGACAAAGAUUGGCAAAAGUUGAAGGGGUCUUUUCCUCAUCUGCAGCACUGGGAUGUGGAGGAGGCCCACUGUUGCGAGGUUAAAAAGGACGUAAGAUGAAGAGAUCGGUUUGGAGUGAAGCUGAAGGCUAGGGAGUACGUAAUUUAACGAUACGAUCCAGGUUGUCAAAUCUAUUUUCUACUCUUGAGUAGUUGAUUGUUGUUCUACUGUCUCAGCAACUUUGUUGUCAAGUUCAUAAACAAUGUCUUUAGGCUAAGUUUGGGCCAAGGAUUUCCAAUUCCCCGGGGGAUUGAUGCCAAGUUAGCAGGGGGUGGAGCACAAAAUCUUAGAUAACACAAGUUGGCGGUGUUAGCAUCGCCGUCGUGAAACUGUGAAAUGAGAGGCCUUGGUGGUGUUGUUACUCUUAAAUUCUUAAUCUAGCUUUGUACGUCUUAAUCGUUCAUAUAUGUAAUCUAACGCUCAUAAUUCGACAUGAAACUCUGAUUAGUGCAGAGAUCAUGCAUGUUGGGUAAAGUUUUCCAUGAAAGCUGUUUUUGAGCAAUUAUUUGGUAAUAGACUCUAAAGGGUUUUUCUAGACGAUUGUCUUACCUAACUACUUAAAAAGUAUCACAAAAACUAAAAAGUAUCACAAAAACUAGGCUUCUGUUUCAACUGACUAGCCACCGAAAACUAAUUAGUAGACUUGCACUUAUCUAAAUUCAACUUAAUUUUAUACACAGACACCAGACACUGAGGCACACUCACACAAAUUUUCAAUAUUUUUGGAGUUAAUUUCUAUUUUAAUUAAAUCCAACAAAAACAGGACAUGAACAAAGUAAAUAGCUCGAAAAUAUAAGGAACUAACUAAGAAAAGACAAAGUGAAUUUGAACAGUUCAUAUAUACUGCAGAUCAUCUACAAGAACCUUGAAAACAGUUAUGUGGAAAGAGAGGUAUGAACAUGGUUACGAAAGCUAGAACCACCCGUCGAUUGAUUCUCUCUAUCGUGACUCAUUCACUGUUUCCGUCGACACCACAUGUACAUCAUAAUGUUCAAUCAUCCCUUGUUCAAUCUUUUAAUACGGGACAAAAGAGAGAGGAAUGAAGGCACCUUGUUUGAAAUCACGGUAAACAGCCUUUAAAACCCUUUUCCAACUCUUGUGCAUCCAAGUUCUUCCCUAUGAAAACGAUCCUGUUUGUUCUUUGGCUCGUUGGGGCCCCACAGCCGAUCAGGUGAGCCUUGGAAUAUAUCAUGGACUCCCUGUUACCCAAUGGAAAAACAUUAUUACAAAAAUAUACACAAACAAAGAUAAACAUUGACCAAAUUUGUUCAGAACUGCAUAUCUAGCUUCUUUAUCAGAAUCAUCACCAACUAAGAACUUUGGCAUGCAAGAAGAGUAUCAUGAGUAAACAAUAAUGGCAUGAUUCAACAAAUGCGUUAAAAAAAACGUCAACAUUAGCAGCUUCUCUUACCCAACCUAAAUUGAACCCUUCCACGACAAACUCCCACUCCCAUUCUACUUGGUAAUUUAUUAACAAGUGACAAUUGACCAUUACUAAUAGGGUAAACUGUCGGUUUACCCCCUGAACUUUCACCUCACUUUCGAUUUCCCCCCUGAACUUUUCUAUUGGAAAAUUAAGGACUCAAACUAAUUUUUUUAGCCAAUUUGCCCCCUACCGUUAGUUUCAUAUAUUCAUCCAUAUUUCGUUAAGUGAACCAUGUGCAUAACUGUGGGAUGUUAAGUCAUUUCAAUUUAAAAAUGAUUAAAAACUGAAAUAAAUAAAAAUAAUUUCCCUCUAUUUUUUCCCGCUAAUUCCUAUUCCUCAAUUUUAAUUUCCCUUCUCAUUCCUAUGCAUGAGAAAUAACAUAUGUUAUGUCUUCAUAAGUAGCUAAUUAUUUUUUUGGAAGCAUGUACUACCAUUUUAUUUUCUCUAACAAAUUAAUAAUUUGACAAAUGCUUAUGUGUUAUUGUCUCCAAGCAGUGCAUUAAUAUAAGAACAUGUCCAUAAAAAGACUAGGGUUUCUAUAUUAAUGCACUGCUUUGGAGAAUAGCACCAUUGCAUUUGUCAAAUUAUAAUUUGUUAGAGAAAAUAAAAAUGUAGACAAUAACACCAUAUUCAUUUCCAGCAUAGGAAUGAGAGACAAAAAUAAAAUCAGAGGAUAGGAAUUAGCGGAAAAUUAGAGGAAAGUUUUGCUUUUUUAUAUAUUUUUAGUUUUUAAUAUUUUAAGAGUGAAUGACUUAAUACCUCACAUUAGUGACAUGGUUCACUAACGAAUAUGAUGGAAAUAUGAAACAACGGUAGGGCAAAUUGGCUAAAAAAAUUAGUUUGAGUCCUUAAUUUUCCAAUGGAAAAGUUCAGGGGGGAAAUCGAAAGUGAGGUGAAAGUUCAGGGGGUAAACCGACAGUUUACUCUUACUAAUAAAGCAUUCAGGUUAAAGUAUAACAUAAGACAAAAACAAUGCUUACCGGGGACCAAGGUUUCAGAAAUUCAAACUUUAAAUUGUCCUCACAGGCAAUGCUCGGGAUAAAGAAAACGCGAUGCUUAUUUCGAUGAGAUUCUCCUACCAAUUAUCUCAAUUUCAAAUAUAUAAGUAAAUGAUUAUAACACUCGACGGACUACUCACCUGGAAGACAAUCUCUCAUUCAUUCCUUGGACAGAUAGUAGACCUUUCAUACGAUAUAUGUCCUCGCUUCGUUCCAACAACAGCGUACCAAGCCAUAUGUUAGGCUGAAUUAAAUUACGAUGAAAUCAGUAGUCUUUGCCAGGUUUUCUUUCAUACAUUCCAGAAAAAGACACUAAAUGCAACUGGCCAUUAAAUGUGUACUUGUGUCAUCAAAGGCAACAGGUAAACCAAAAGACAAAGUAGGCAAUUAUCAUAUAUAUUGCAAAAUAAGACGAAACACAAAUCCAAACUUUUCAAGAUCUAGGCUCCCUUCACAAACCAUGCUGACAGAAGAAACCCCAGGAUCAUGAACAUGAUCAUGGGAUCUGCAUAUCCAUGUCAAACGUGUGGAUAUUAUUCCAUAAAUCCAUAUAAAAGUAGUAGUAAUGUCAAAUUACAAUUUUUGUGCAAGAUCGGAACUCGUACAACAACAACAACAACAACAACAAAGCCUUUUCCCACUAAGUGGGAUCAGCUAUAUGAAUCCUAGAACGCCAUUGCGCUCGGUUUUGUGUCAAGUCCUCCGUUAGAUCCAAGUACUCGAAGUCUUUUCUUAGGGUCUCUUCCAAAGUUUUCCUAGGUCUUCCUCUACCCCUUCGGCCUUGAACCUCUAUCCCGUAGUCACAUCUUCGAACCGGAACGUCAGUAGGUCUUUUUUGCACUUGUCCAAACCCAUUUUGUGUACGUGUUGAUGCUUCACCGCCCAACAUUCUGUGCAACAACAUCGCCGGCCUUAUUGUCGUCCUAUAAAAUUUUCCCUUGAGCUUUAGUGGCCUACGACGGUCACACAACACGCCGGAUGCACUCUUCCACUUCAUCCAUCAGCUUAUUCUAUGGUUGAGAUCUCCAUCUAAUUCUCCGUUCUUUUGCAAGAUAGAUCCUAGUAGCGAAACGGCCGCUCUUUGGUAUUUUCCUGAUCUCGUCCUCACCCCUAACUCAUUUGGCCACCAUUUGCAUGAACUUGCAUCCUAUAUAUUUGUCUUUGAUCAACUUAGGCGAAGACCUUUAGAUUCCAACCUUCCUCCAAAGGUAAGCUUGCAUUUACCCCUCUUGAGUUCAUCUAUCAACACUAUAUCGUUGCGAAAAGCAUACCCAAGGAAUAUCAUCUGAAUAAGUAUGUUAACUCAUCCAUUACCAAACGCAAAAAGGUAAGGACUUAAGAUUUGAGCACAAAAUCAGUGGACUUUGAUAAAAGAAAGUAUAAGUUUGUGAUCUUCGCUAGAUUGUCUGGUAUUAGUGUGGAUAAGUAUGUAAAUGGAUAGAGACAGGAAAGCAAACCAAGAUGUAUGUGUUCACGGUUGGCUACGUCCAGGAGUAGAGGAAGUCUCAAUUAAUUGUGAAGGUUUACACAAGUACAUAGUUCAGCUCUCCUUUAGUGAGUAAAGUGAAUGAUUUGUACAAAUGACUUAGGAAUAUUGUGGGAGAUGAUCUCGUAAUCAGAACUUCUAAGUACCGAAGUGUGGUAUCGUCUCAUUGCCUCUAUCUGUCUCAUAGGUAGUGUGCAUCUUCUCUGAAAGUACUCUUCCUCCAUCUAGGGGUGGUAUGUUUAACUAGUCGGAGAUGCAAAGGUAAGUGUCAAUUUCACUUGAAGCUUACUUGUAAUUUCAGGUUUCAGCAGAUAAAACCCAUGUAGUGGAGUCCCCAAGUCGCCGAGCUAGGGAUCUGUGAAAAGAGGUGAUAGAGCAAAGUAAGCAAUCAGAGCUGCUAAGCAAUUCAGCUUAGAUCAGAAGUUUGAUUUCGAGUUCCAGCUGAUUGUUCUCAUUCUCCCUAUCUUACAGGCAGCAUAAAGGAUAAAGAGAAGAAAAGGAGAAUAAAUGAUAUGAGAUACUUUUGCUUUGAAGAAGUAACUUUCCACAGGCUUAUUCUUGAACUAGGCUGGAGGGUUUUUCUGGUUUCCUCCAGAGUAUAAGGUGACUGAAGAAUUUUGAGGGUCAAAACAAGUCCAUCAAAUCUAGAGUACGUUCGACCCUGCUGAUAUGGAUACUUUUGAUGUUGACAAAGUAGUGGAUGUAUCGCACGUGUUUCUGUUACGCUUGUCUCCACAUGCUUCCUUGUAUCCUUCUCACUUUCCCUAUCUGUUCCUCAGGCAGAUGUGGUAUCUUCUCUGGAAGCAUAAGAUGUUGAAGAUGAGUACUCGAGAGCAAUGCUAGGUAAGUAAUCAGGUAAAGGGUUCCAGGCAGUCAGUUCCUAACUGGAAGCUUGAUUCCAAGUGCUGACUGAUUGCUCUCUUUCUCCUUGUCUUGGAGGUAAGAACAAGGCCAAAGGAAAAGACAGGGAAAAGCAUGAUAUGGGGAUACUCUUGCUUUUAACCCUGAUGAUAUAGAUAUUCUUGCUCUGGUGUAGCUUGUUCGCAGAGGUAUUAUCGGGGGGAAAGAAAGCUGAGUAUUUCGAGAGGCUUCGUUGGGAGUGCCCUCUCAGAUAUGAGGAAGGAUUGAGCAUUUUUGCACGUCUGCCUGUCCGUUGAGGAUGGAGGUCGACAUAUAUAGGAGUCUCCCUAACAAUAAGUAGUAAUGAUAUUCCUUUACCCCUGCUUGGUCAUAGCACGGUAGUGGGAGCUGCCAGCUUCACGUGUGUCAGAGCACUUUGAAAAAGUGGUAUGUGGUAUCUGGAAAGCUGAUGUUGCGUGUGAAGAUUACAGACAAGCUUUAUCCAAGGAAAUUUGGCUCUCGAAGUUGAGAAGCGGUGCCUCUUCGAUUUUCAAACAAGCAAUCCUGUCGGGGAUCUGGCUCUCGAGAUUCGGAGAACGGUGCCUCUUCUAUUUUUGAGAGAGCAAUCCUGCUGGGAGUCUGGCUCUCGAGAUUCGAAGAGCGGUGUCUCUUCGAUUUUUGAGAAAGUAAUCAUGUUGGGAGUCUGGCUCUCGAGAUUCGGAGGACGGUGCCUCUUCAAUUUUGGAGCAAGCAAUCUUGUUCGGAGUGUUUUUUCGAAUGUGAGUAAAGGUUGGGCAUGUUUGCUAGUCUACCUUGCCACGGAGCACAGAGGUUGACACACAAGGACUUUCCAAUUAUCCAGCAGUGGUGCUGUUCCUUUACCCUUGUGGGUAAUCAUAUGGUAGCUAAACCCUUCAAAAUUUAUGUGUCUAAACUUUGUUAGUGCUGUUUCUUUGCUAUUCUUUUACCCUUCUUGGUCAUAGCGAUGUAGUGAGAGCUGCAAGCUUCACGUGUUAAACUUUGUCAGAGAUCUUUGGCAAGUAUCUGUGGUACCAUGAGCUGAUGGUGCGUGUGAAAGUGGAUGAAUGAACAGUAAGAUUCACGUGCUUUCCUACUUCACCAGAAACCUUCACAGAAUGCCCGUAAUUUCAGCAAAGCUGAGUGGCAUGUGACAGGUGCUGACAAGGCUGAAAAAAGCAGGUGCCUCUUCGAUUUCUGAGAUCGGCCCUGUGGUCUCUGAGCAGCCCAGCUUUGAGAAAGCAAGCGCCUCUUCGAUUUCUGAGAUCAUCCUUCGUGGUCUUUGAGCAGCCCAGCUUUUGAGAAAGCAAACGCCUCUUCGAUUUCUGAGAUCGGCCUUCGUGGUCUCUGAGCAGCCCAGCUUUUGAGAAAGCAAACUGAUAGGAGCAUAUUUAUGCACCUUAGUUAACUAGUUCUUAUGCAUUUUCGUUAUGUUUUCUUAGUUUAAAGUAGUCUUUUAAGCUAGUUUUCAUAUGUUUUCAGGUUUAAGGGCAUAUUACAUAAAAGGAUGCAAAUUUGGAGCUUUCGGAGCAAAAUGGAGCUUAGAUUGGAAAGUACAUGCUUGGAGCACAAGGAAUGGACGAGUUUGAAGGUCAAAGGAGCUUAAGAAAUGAAGAAAUGAAAGUGAAGAACAAAAGAAUUCAGAAUUGGAAACCAAAGUUUCUAAAGUUGGAAGUUUCUAUUCUUGGAGGUUUCCAUUUUUGAGAGUUUCUAUCCUUGGCUUUGGGCUUUUAGAUGACCUAUCAUUUUCCCCUAACCCUAGCCGCACCUAGGCCUCUAGAAUAUCUGGUUUCCUUGCCUUGCAAGGCAUUCUAGAAGGCCCAUCUCUAACCCUAACCCUAGCCGCACCUUAGGCCUUAUUCCCACUAAAAAUCUGAUUGUUUUAACCUAAUUUCUGAUGGGUUUGGGUUUUAGAGGCCCUAAUCUGAUUGCCCUAGGGUUUUGGAUGCCUAUUUAUACACAUUCUAAACCUUGGCCGAACACCAUCUCCCAUUCACAUCAUUUCACGCCAGAAUUUGUUCCUUGCUCUCUGCCGCACCUUUUCAUCACCAUAGUCCAUAAUUUCUGCCCAAAAACAACCCUAGCCGCACCACUCAUCAACCCUAAACCGUUCCCUACCAUUCCCCAUCCAUUCUAGACCCUAAAUACCACCCAAAACCUGUUCUAAACUUCUCUGCCGCAGCAAGGAGGAAGGAGAAAUCACUGAUGAUCUUGCUGCCAAGUUGGAGCGUUCUAGGUGUUUUCUUUCUUUGGAUUUUAAUUUCUAAUUUUAUGUAUCUUUGCUUUGCGAGUAUGAGGAACUAAAACCCCCCUUGGCUAGGGGGGAUUCAAAACCAUGAUUAUAUAUGUGAAAUAAGUUGAUUCCUUUCAGUUAUCGUUGCAUAAGUUGUGAAUACAAUUUGCUUAACCGUUUGAUUUAGAACUUAUUCUUGUAUGUUGAUUGAGAGUGCACGCUUAAUUUGCAUGCUUGAAUUUGGUGCUAGGAUAUAAGUUUGUUUCACCUAAUCGUUAUGAAUUUAUAUUCGCAAGUAGUGAAGAUCGCUAGUCACGAUCGUGUUAAGUAGAUUCCUGGCAAGAGUAUCAUGCUUUUCAUAGUUACGAAUGCCUUGUCGAUGCUUAUGAUUUCCAAAGAAAGUAAUGAUUCUAACUUGUAUCUUUAUCAUGCUGUUCAUAUAGAGAACUUGUUAGGAAUAAUUUGUUUG